rnacentral:rRNA from 1 species
AUUGAACGCUGGCGGCAUGCCUUACACAUGCAAGUCGAACGGUAACGGGCCUUCGGGUGCCGACGAGUGGCGCACGGGUGCGUAAUACAUCGGAACGUGCCCGAUCGUGGGGGAUAACGAGGCGAAAGCUUUGCUAAUACCUCAUACGAUCUACGGAUGAAAGCAGGGGACCGCAAGGCCUUGCGCGGACGGAGCGGCCGCUGGCAGAUUAGGUAGUUGGUGGGAUAAAAGCUUACCAAGCCGACGAUCUGUAGCUGGUCUGAGAGGAUGAUCAGCCACACUGGGACUGAGACACGGCCCAGACUCCUACGGGAGGCAGCAGUGGGGAAUUUUGGACAAUGGGCGCAAGCCUGAUCCAGCCAUGCCGCGUGCAGGAUGAAGGCCUUCGGGUUGUAAACUGCUUUUGUACGGAACGAAAAGCCUUCUUUUAAUACAGGAGGGUCAUGACGGUACCGGAAGAAUAAGCACCGGCUAACUACGUG